GAUGAAGAACGCAGCGAAAUGCGAUAAGUAAUGUGAAUUGCAGAAUUCAGUGAAUCAUCGAAUCUUUGAACGCACAUUGCGCCCCUUGGUAUUCCGAGGGGCAUGCCUGUUCGAGCGUCAUUAUAACCCCUCAAGCUCAGCUUGGUGUUGGGGCCUGCUGCACUGGCAGCCCUUAAAAUCAGUGGCGGCGCCAUCUGGCUCUAAGCGUAGUAAUUCUUCUCGCUAUGGAGUCCUGGUGGAUGCUUGCCAUCAACCCCCAAUUUUUCUAUGGUUGACCUCGGAUCAGGUAGGGAUACCCGCUGAACUUAAGCAUAUCAAUAAGCGGACGA
rnacentral:misc_RNA from 1 species